rnacentral:lncRNA from 1 species
GGGUGAGGGCGGUGGCUCCAAGGGUUGAAUGACAGGUCUCAAAAGGAUUUCCAGCUGGGUCUGUUGGGGAGUCUUAUGGAGCCCCUCUGCUGAGCUAUGAGCAAGGAUACCCUGUACCCAGAACUACUGUGGUGGGCAGGGCAGCCAGGAGGAAGUAGCAGGUGGGAGCUUGUGUCUAAGGCAUCCCUGGGCGGAAGCCCUAGCAGAAGCCAUCCUCACUCAAGCCCUGGCAGGCCUUGGAACACCGGAUCCGGGAGGAGCAGCAGGCAAUGGACCGAAAGAUUGUCCUGGAGCUGGACCGGAAGGUUGCUGACCAGCAGAGCACACUGGAGAAGGCAGGGGUAGCUGGUUUCUAUGUGACCACUAAUCCUCAGGAGCUGACGCUGCAGAUGAACUUACUGGAACUCAUCAGGAAGCUGCAACAGAGGGGCUGCCAAAUGGGAAAGCCGGCUCUGUGACCAAGUGGGCGGUCCUCGCUGUCCUCUGUUGCCUAGGAUGGCUGGCACCACAGCCUUGUCUGUGUGGGGGCUACUGACUGUCCGGCUGCCAACAGGCCUGAUCUCUCUGAGGAGCUGACUAGACCCUGGCUAUGCCCGCUGCCACCCACUGAUCAGAUUUGGAGGGGAAGGUCCAAGCAAUAGGAAUGGUGUCAUGAGAAGGCCCCAUGACUGAAUGCUGAGUGGGAAUGUGGGUCCCUCUGGGCAUAUCCCUCCAGGCUUGGGCUUUGCCUUGUUCCUGUGUAGCACCUCCCUUGACAGCCCCCACCCUCGGUGGA